GACGAACGCUGGCGGCGUGCUUAACACAUGCAAGUCGAACGGAAAGGCCCUGCUUGCAGGGUACUCGAGUGGCGAACGGGUGAGUAACACGUGGGUGAUCUGCCCUUCACUUCGGGAUAAGCCUGGGAAACUGGGUCUAAUACCGGAUAGUAGCCAUUUUUAGUGUGAUGGUUGGACAGUUUUUUCGGUGUAGGAUGAGCUCGCGGCCUAUCAGCUUGUUGGUGGGGUAAUGGCCUACCAAGGCGGCGACGGGUAGCCGGCCUGAGAGGGUGGACGGCCACAUUGGGACUGAGAUACGGCCCAGACUCCUACGGGAGGCAGCAGGGGGGAAUAUUGCACAAUGGGCGCAAGCCUGAUGCAGCGACGCCGCGUGGGGGAUGACGGCCUUCGGGUUGUAAACUCCUUUCGCUAGGGACGAAGCUUUUUGUGACGGUACCUAGAGAAGAAGCACCGGCUAACUACGUG
rnacentral:rRNA from 1 species